AACGACCAUACCACGCUGAAUAACACCGGCUGUCGUCCGAUCACCGAAGUUAAGCAACGCCGGGUGGUGUCAGAACCUGGAUGGGUGACCGCCUGAGAACACCGCGUGAUGUU